AUAAAAUAGCACAAACAAUGUUAUGCUGUUAGACUAUAUCGAGAUAAAAUGAAUAUCUGCUAGGAAAAGUGUGACUUAUUCUAAAUUUACAAGUAAUGCCGGCAGUUUCAGUUUGAACUUUAGAGCUGCACAAAGAAACGCCGUCUUUCUGUGUUUUUGCCAACAGUUGGACAUAGCCAUCUUGUUUGAACAAGCUUCAUUGAAGCUCUCACUGGAACCAAAACCAUACAAAUCUCCGUCAUUGUGUUCAGUGUGAGCUCCACUUGGACAGCGGAGCAAUUGUAGGUUCUGCACAUGCAGAAUCCCAGAUUACAAUGUUUCUUGCAAAUGAACAUCUUGUACAAGAUUAAGAUAAAAGAUUAAUAAAAUCACACCAUGACUUCCCACUUCAAAGACUAACCCUAUUAGCAUGCUGUAGCUGGCAGUCAACAAGUGGUGCUCUGCCAAAAACAUUCUGGAUGGAACUUGCACCCUAAAAGUUAUGAACAGAUAUAAAUAGAUGUAGUGACCGUAAUUGUUUGGGUAAUGGAGUUCCGAAAUGUUUUAAUCCGAAUAGUUCAGGAUGAAUUCAUGGACCUUUAUACCUGUGGGGGUGACACGUGUUAAUACAGAUCUACCUCUGUUUUUUUUUAAAUACAUACAGUCUGUUUAAAGCUUGUCGUAGAUAAUUCAUUUCUACGAUACCCAGUCAUAUCACAAAAUCUCUGUCUCUAUAUGUUUUCAAAUUGGGAAGUACUUUUAGAGAGCUCAGUCAGGUCCCCAUGUUCACUAUAAGUAUUCCAGUUACUCCCAAGGCAGUAGUGGUUGUAGAUGGACUUAGUUUUGGUUCAGUCUGUGGUAUGUUUGUAAUGUUGGUUGUGGUAUAAAUUUUGAACUGAAUUAUAGUGUAUCCCCAGCUGCACACAAACACCAGUAAACAUCAGUCUGUGGUUAUCAUCUUCCUUGACCUUGUGGAUCACAUAUGCAUAUUUGACUUAUGAAGAUGUCAACCAGAUUUCCAGUUUAAAAGAACAGACUGUGUUCGUGAUCAAAGCUCCUCCAGAGACUAACCUUGAGGUGCCACAUCCAGAGGAGAGCCUCCAGGUCCACCUCAGAAGCACCCAGGGGCCUAUUGAAGUGUUCCUCUGCUCUGAUGACCCCAUCCCUAUGGAAGUCACAGACAGCUCAGCAGCCAGUGGGAAGGCCUCGGUCUCUCCUUUGUCAUCCUUCACUCAGGUGUCUUCUAAAGACGUCGCUAACAAUAGUUGCAGAAUAAAUAAUUCUUCCAACCCGCUGUCUGAGCAGACACAACACUCCUCACCGGUUAUUUUCACCGCCGUUUCCCCCACACCCGCCACCCCCUCCUCUGAAGACCAGCACAGUUUUGUCACCCUCGCUCCUUCUCUGGCCAUCUCUCACGAUGAGGAGCAGUACCUCCUGAGCCUGGCCGAGGACGAGGGCAUCACCGACCUGUUCUCCUCUGUCGACUUGGACCAGGCGCCGGUGGAUAUGCCACUUGUCUGAACAGUUGUUUUUGGAAACACGGUAAAUUAAAGGAAGUGGAGAUCUUCACACAGACAUAAUACCACGAAAAAUAACAAAGUUUGGACUUGAAUUUGAGUUACUUAGAUUUGUAUUUGCCUUACCAGGGUUUACUGACUCUAAGGAACACGGAGGAGGUUGUAACCUGGAAGCAUCAAGUUGAAGCUGGUGUGUAAUUCCAUUCCAAGCCAAUCUUGUGGCUUUUUUUUUCCUCCUCUGGACUGGGGCUGAUGCGUGCUGUUGGAUGAAGCAUUUUGAUUCCAAGCUUUAAUGUGUUACAUGUCUGGGAGACGUUUUUGAGUGUCUCUUUGUCCAAAGUACGAGCAUUACGGUCUCAACACAGGACUAAAUCAUGACCUCCUUGUUGUUUCGGUUAUGGGAAAAACACUGUUGUACUUGUCAGUCAGGACAAUGGAGAUCAUUUUUGUACUUUGAUCAGGAGGCUACCAUUCGACAAAGCAGCACAGUCUAAACAUUUAAAGGUGUUCAUUCACAUUUAAAAUCUUCUUUAGAGUCAUCCACUAGACUACUGCUGUUUGUGUUGGACUUUUGGGAUGUGAACGACAUUUGUGCAUGACUGUAUGGUUACUAAUGCUGUGGUUUAUUGACGAUUCUUAGUUUUGUAUCUUCGUUUCCCACUCUUCCAUUCAAGUUACUAAUACAAAAUUAUAUUCUGAGCCUCCUUCCAGAGAGUUAGUUCCUCAUCACCUUGAACUGAUAUGCAAAUAAUCCACGUCUUGUCUUGCGACUCCUACAAGGAAUGCACCAAUCCAAGUUUUUCCAUUUCUGGUAUCGAUUCCAAUACCUCAACUCAGUGUGUUUCCUGAUACUGAGUACCAGUCCGAUACCAGUGCUCUCUUUUUCUCUAAAUGUACAUGACAGUGUGGAACUCAUUGGAAUCAUCUUCAUGUAAAGUUACCUAUCGUGAAAUGAUGUUGGACACACCUUGUUUUAUAAUAACAUAACAAAGAAACUGCACGCGUCAUAGCCAGUGACCGUUAAGAAAGUAUUUGAUUGGCGCAUUCCCAUCUGCUACUUAAGCAAAUCAGUCUCCGUCUAAACCUGUGUGCUUUAUAGCUUCCUCAGGGCUCUAGUAACUUUAACUAGAGGUGCAAUUUUGUAUAAUAAAGGUUGAUUCAUACACAGUAUUUAUGGUGUCCCCUAAAGUUUGUUUGUGCCAGAACAUUGUUGCAACACUUUGAUUAUUACAAAAUCUUGCUGACAGUGUUUGAGAUUCCAGUCAUCUCAGCAAAUGAUUUGGUCAGGCACCAACGCAAUCUGUGUUCCCUCUCGUAGCUGUUAGAGGCGUAAUUGUCUACUGAUGACACGCUGAAAGCAUUUACUCACUUUUUCUUGCUGCAUUAACAGAUGUCUAGCUCUUCCGUUUUAAAAUUGCAGAGAAAUCAUGACAAUCCAUGUUAGGUCUGUAUAGCAGACACUGGGUUGGAUAGUUCCUGGUGCUGUGCAUGGUGGAUCACGGUUGUAGAGAGACUGAUGGAGCUGAACCACUGUUGAUGGAAUUGGAUUAACCUGCGAUUUUCCUGCUAUUAGAAGUCAAAAUGCUUCUUAAGAAAAGGUCGACAUUGAGUGUGUGGAAAUGUAAAAUGUCAGACCGAGAGGGCAUAAGUUCUUGUGCUGAUGAUUGGAUUGACUGAUUUGCUGUCUUUCUAUAUUUGCUUAAGCAUCUCUUAUGACUUCCCAUUGAUAUUUUGCUCUAGUUUUGAAUGCUGCUGUUGGAGGCAAGCUUUGAUCAGUGAAGUGUUUGCAACAACAAAGCAGACUUUCUUACUAUUCUUGGUCAAUAUCAAGCUUAGACAGUGCUAGAACCAAGAUGCUAGACUGCCAGCUGUUUGCAGCUUACAGCAAGCGACCAGAGCUAAACCAAUAUAAGGCACUGAACAGUUAACUAUUGAAAUUAAAUGUGGUAAGAGAGCAGCUUCAUUUAUGCCAGUAUGGCCUUCUUUAAUCCGGUAGUCUGUCUAGAAUGAAGGUGGAUGGGAGCUGUGCAUAGACCUAAAAAGUAAACUGUCUGUGGUUAGAGGAGGUGGAACGAAUGUUGCUGUGAAAGCAUUCUUCCAAAUGAGACUCAAAGGUGUAAUCUAAACUAGACUUAUCUGUUUUUUUUUUUUUUU
ensembl:lncRNA